rnacentral:lncRNA from 1 species
UUUUACAUUUUAAUUUGUUUGGUGUGCUUUGUGGAAGAUCCAACCGAAGCACUCUUGUUCAAUUGAUCUUGAACAAGUUCUUGUGCAAUUUGUGAUAGGAUUCCAUACACCUUUGAGUUGCUAUUUUCUUUUAGGCUUUUGAGUCUUUAUUGCUUUCAUUAUUUGGUUCAUAUUAUGCUUUGAGUCUUUAAUUUUCUGAAUCCAUACAUGUUUUGUCAAGUCAUGUUCAUCCAUAUUGUCAACA